rnacentral:lncRNA from 1 species
GCACCUCAGAGGGUGGGGCAUUUCCCUUGUCCGUCAAAGUUUUAUUGAUAAAUUCCUUUAUGAUCUUCUCAGGAGCAUUGAUGACCCCAGUGUUGUAGCCAAAUUGGAAAGAGCCGAUUGUAGCAACUGUGAUGGCAAAUAUCAGAGCUGGGGUGACCUUCUGUGUCCCCAUCGCUGUAAUCUAAUUCAAGUCUUCAAGAAAGAUCUAGGGGUGAUUCCAGAAACAGCUUUUUCAGCCAACAAAACCUUCAAAAUGUCCUUCUCAGCAGCAAGUUUUCUCCACGUCCUCAGGAAGGAUCCAAAGUCU